AGAUUUGUUCCUUUGGUCGGUGUGUGAAAUACAGUAUCAGUCAAGAAAGAUUGAACAAAACUUUUUGAGUGAAGGUUCUUUGCGAGGUUAGUAUUGUGAUUGGAAGCUUACUCGUCCUGACGAACGACGUUUCUUUAAAACAUCAAAGUGUUUUCAUACUCUUAGAAGUAGUUGGCACAAACCACAACACAAGGUUAUUGUAGGCUUGCAAUUGCACUGCAUAACUUCUCUGUUUAAUUAAGGUACUGUAUCAAGCCUUUAAUUUUUUUUUGUUUUCUUUCAGAAUUUAUGCGUUGAUAUAAUCUGUUAAGAAUACUUGGAAUACUCUUGUAACACUCUGCCAUCUGAAUCAAACAUAUUCGCUUGACAAAAUGGGGAAAAACGGAGAAUGGCAUGGCAUGUAGCAAUGCAGGCCCAGGUUUGAACAACAUUGUGGUAACAGAUUUUUGCUUCUUUACUGAUAGUUCACUUGGCAAUGUUUAAACUAAGUAUUGUGUCUGUAAGUCAAUAACACUGAAUGUUGUUUAUUGGCAGACACGUUUCAGUUUCUCACAGUUUUUACAAUUCAUAUGUGACGUCUUUUUCGUGUUUUACUCUAACUUGUUCUGUUUUGCCAGUCCUCUUUGUUUUGUAAUGUUUCACCUUUUGUCCUGUGAUGUCGUGUAUGGUUGUCCCUUGUGGUUGUCUGGUGUGUCGUAUGUCGUGAAUAUUUAUAUUAUAAUACUCAUCUAGUAUUGCAUAACUACAACAUUGCUCAUUUUAAACGAAUAUAUAGUACCUGUAUUAAACCUGCAUGCCAGCAGGUACUGUAUUUUGUUGUACCAAAAGAACGUGGAUAAUCCUGUGAAUUAUUGCAUUUUGAAAGAAAGGAAUGCUUAUUUCCUAUUUAUCAAAGCAUUGCAAACAGUGUGAAAUAAAACAACCGGUGGUCAUCGGUCCUUUUCCGAGCAAAAUACUGAUAUGGCCAUCUACAGAUUUCUCUUCACGGACAUUAUUUUAUAGACUUUUUGCCUCAAUACUAGAAUACAUGUGAAAAGGAGGAUGUUCGGAAAUCAAUGUGUAGCGACUAGCAAAUUAGAGGUCAAAUUUA